UCAGGGGUGGCUGAGGGGGAACCGCAGCGUUCGGGGCUCUGCAGCGCUGCGGCCGCGCCGGUGCCUCCACGGCUCCGGGCUCGCUCCUCGGCCGCAGAGGAAGGAGCUGUGACGAGGAAGGACCUGGCUCUGCCCCGGCACGGGCUCUUCGGAAGGUGUCGCUUGCGAAAGCUGUCAGCGCUUCCCGUAGCGUGCACCGGGGAGAGAAGAAGGACUACGGUGCGAUGGGGCCUCCGGCGGAACAGCCCCAGGCUUCUGUGGGAGGGUGAGAGUCACAGCACCCUCAAAGCGCACAGGCAACAGCCUCAAUCCUCACAGGGGAUCAGCCCUCAGCCCCCUCAAACCUCAUAGGGGUCAUCUCCUCAAUGCCCUCAAACCGCACAGGGAACAGCCCCUCAGCCCCCCAAAACCUCGCAGGGAAUCAGCUCUCAGCCCCCUCAAACCUCGCAGGGGAUCAUUCCUUCAAUCCCCUUAAACCACACAGAAAAUAAGCUCCUCAACCCCCAAAAAACUCACAGGGGAUCAGCCUGUCAAACCUUACACGGUCAAACCCCCUCAAACCUCUCAGGGGGAGCAGCCCCUCAGCUCUCUCAAACCUCUCAGGGCACGGGGGUUUUCUUCAAAAAGUCCUCUAAGUCGUAGGGCUGCAGGCAUGGGGUGUCAGUAGGAGGUUCCUGUUCCAUUAAAAUGUCUUUUCACUGUCUGAAACAGAAACACGGGCUGAAUUGUAAAAAGAUCAAAACCACCCCUGCCCUUUGCUGUUCUCCAGCAUGUUUGCUUUUAGUAUUCAGCCCAGGACUGACACAGAAUGGGAGGAUUUCCCAAAUGGCUUUGUUACAACAUUAAGCCUGGUAACCUACCCUGGGUCACUCCCGAGCAGAAAAUAAGGAGUUUGAAAGAAAACACUGAUUUCUAAGGGCAGCUUGUUCCAAGGAUUGUUCCUGCACUGAAACAAAGCCUGUAAAAACACCAGUUGCGAGUCAUUCCCUAAGUUACUGUUUCCGCACGGAAUGAUCUUGCCACAUCGGAGCUGCAGAAAGGUCAAGCCGGAGUUGCUUUCUCGCUGAUCCCAACACUCAGUGCCUGUCAGUGUGUUCCAGAGGACUCCCAAGCCCAAACAUGACAGAUCGCUGCUGGACAUGUAGCUCUGACAACAUUUUGCCUUGCCACUUUUGUGGCUUGAUUGUGCCCAUGCAGCAAGGCUGCAAGUUGAAGAAGUGUGGAGGAAGCUGAUAAUGCUCUUUCAGUUCCUGAGGACUUUAAGCAGCUAUAAAAGUCAUAGACAUUAGCAAACACCAACAAUCAGCUCACAAACAGCUGGCUGAGAAGCUGAAGACAAACAUCUACAGAACAGUUGAAGCAUAAAGUAGUGCAGGAACACCUGAAAAUACAACUGAGAAGAAGCACCAGCACUAGAGGUUGGUCACUGGUACCUUUGGGCACUCUGGAAGGUUUGGCUGCCUGUGUCUCCCAGUCUGGGAACACUUGGACCACACCUGAUUUUGCCAGAGGUGGAUAAAAGAGAUGCAGAUGUGUUUAUGGUUUCCCCACACUACUGGUCACCAAUCACACUUGUGUUUAGACCACAUUAAUUGCAAACAAGUGGUUAAAUGAGUAACUCCCUUCAGGUACCAGAAAGGAACUGCUCUGGCAGUUGAGAUGUCUCUAAUGAUGCAGACAGGAACAACAACUGGCCCAAAUUCUCUUUCAGAUCCCUUCCCCUGACACAAGAUUCGUUAACUGGAGCCAGUAGGCACCCAUGUACAGAGAGAAGAUCAUCUUCAUGAUCCUUAAGCACCAGGAAAGGAAUUUCCAGAUGGAACUAGCAAAGCCUCCACCCCUACAGUUGGAGCACUUGCUGAGUAUCAUUAAUCAUUCCAUCAAAUGGAGCAUUCAACCACUCUCCUGGUAAGAACAGGUUGCUGGAAACAUUCCUCAUUACAAUUCCUAUUUGGCAUUAGACUGCAAUACAUCUGGCAACAUUGUUUGGGGUUGAUGUUUAACUAAACCACAUGUACAAGCAGUUGGUUUGAGUGCAAUGCAGGAUACCUGUACAUCUAUCUGUGUUUAUCAGUUCUCCUUCCUGUGACCUAUCAGUACAUAAAUAGCAUAUCAGAUGCCUGCAUAUAUUAUACACACCAGAUUCAUCACAUUGCACGUGGUAAUCAUGUUAAAUCUGCCCAAAGCAGCAAAGAACAACCAGCAGCAGACACAGAACAUCUUCACAACUGCUUCCUUUCUGGCUCCAUGCCUACUCUGCACUGCAAGAGCUGCUGCACCAGAGGAGUUGGUUAAUGUUUGCACUUGCACAGCUCCUGGAAGAUGAAGGCACUCAAAUAGAGAAAUUAAUAUUCACAGGAGAGCUGUCAGGGGAAAAGGAAGAGUUUUCCCUGAGGUGCACUGUUUCAGUACAAUGUGUUUGACUGGCACUUGGGCUCCUUUCCUUCACGGAGAGAAACAGGAGAGGCAUAAUCUGUUUGUACUCUGAUUUUCCCCAUCCAAUUAGAGCAUCCUUUCAAAGCAUUCCUGUUGUAGGUAGGCAGGAUAAUCUGAUAGAUUUCCAGAGAUGUGGUCUGUUUUAUGCCACCUUCCAGCAGGAGAAGCUUCCAAGGAGAAAGCAGUGUUGUCUCCCAGAGGAGGGGGAAGGACACAGCCACAGGCUUCUCUCAUGCCUGAUCUCGCAGGAGUGAACCAGGUUGACGGACAACUUCUAAAUACAACAAGAUCCUCAGAUGAAGGCUGGCCACAGAAGUCCAUCUGUGCCUCCCACUUGUAUAUCCCUGGCUUUGGCUGAGCUCCGAGUGCAGCCAACACUGAAGGGGAGAACAAAGACUUGGAUUUGCAAGGGGAGCUCAAGGCCCUCUCAAUCCUCAGCAAAGCAAAAUGUACACAUGAUAAGCCAGGAGAGCCAUUCCAUGCUGCAGUCACAUGCCACGUGGAAGCUGUAAUCUCACAAGGACACAGAUAUGGCCAUGCAAAUAUGGCUUAUGCCUGUGCUAACAACCAGCUCAUGUCCCUGGAGUUCCUUUAAUCUGGCUCGUGGUGCAGGUGAAAGCUUUUGAUGGAGAAGCUUCGUUUCUCCUGGCUCUGAUCAGCCAGGGACAUGCUACCCUUUGGCAUCUCGAUUGGAGAGGUGAGGACAGGAGCUGGCUUCUCCUUGGUGUCAGUCUUUGCAGGUGAGGAGAGGAGCUGCCUGUCACAGUGGGAACAGAUGACAUGACUGCAGGCAGCAGGCACGAGAGUGUGCUUGGGAACAGGCAUUGAGAAACCAGCUGCAUUUUCAACAACUCCUUCAACCAAACCACUUCUAACAGAGUCCUCACAGCAACCAGGCUGAGGCAGCACAGCUACACUCACAGCUGCCACCUCUACUUCCCUCUGCAGAGCUUAUCUUGUGUAAAGUAACACCUAACACUGCAAGCUCCUAGUGUGGGUUAAACAAUGGUAACGUGCCUCAGAUGGCCUAAGUAAAGCUCACUGCAAAGUUAGCAAGAAAUUGCCUUUGCAUCUGCUCAGCACCUGCCUGUGAAAGGCUCCUGCACCCAGAGCUGACAGCGAAAUUCAGACAAGGGGGAGGAAGAAAGCAGACACAGGAGGGAAAAUGCCACAGAUGUCUUAAGGGAGGGCUUGUCUUAAUGGAUUUUUUUCAUUAUUGAAUUCAGCCAUGGGUAAAAGCCAAACUUCCCUAAGACAGCCUGAGAGCAAGGACCUGCCUCUGGUUCAAGACCCACCCACAAGUGCCUUCCCAAGGUGAUAGCUGCUCUGGGCAUUUGGCUCAGUAGGAGCUCAGCACCACCGGCUGCACAAGGAGUUCCUGACCAAGAUCAUCCCAACUUCUGCCAAGAGCAGCGAUGGAUCCUCAGCACAGCCGGGCCCAGAGAGCCCUCAGAGAGAGGGGCCUUUGUACAGCCCUGGGGGUGACUGUGGGUGCCAGAAGCGACCUGGCACAGGAGCACAGCUGAGUCACAGCUGCAGCAAUUGCACCAAUUGUCCCAGAGACACAACAAUUGCACUUGUCUGACUGGUCAGGCCAUGACGGCACAGUGCAGUUCUCUUUGUGAAAGCAUUUCGCCUGGAAGUAAAUUUCCAAAACAAAAUCCUUUUAACUCCAAGCCUUUCCAGGCUUCUCCCUGGCAAGGGCAGUUUAAAGAGAGAUGCCAUGCAGGAGAGAGAAAUGUCACUGCUGUUGGCUUUCAGCACCAAGGAAGGAGGUAACCCUGAAUCCCCAUUAUACUGGGAGGGGAACUGAGAUCUCAGCUCCCUAAGAACACCCAAGGUGCAGCCCAAGGUCCCUGCUCCCCAUCAGAAUAAAAGCUGUGCAAAGGCUCUGUCAGUGGUUACACUCCCAAGGCAGACCUGGGGGAGCAGAAUGAGGAGGAAGAUGAAGUUUGUACUCACAAUCCACAUCUUGCCUUCUGCUCUUUGGGGGGAGUUUUUCUCCCUCUCCCCAGGAUGGACAGGAAGUAACUGCACAAUCUGUAAAAUUACAUCAAGAACAAGCGAAUGGACAAGUGCCUGGUAAGAAAAUGGGAAAUUUAAUCCCCAAAAGGUGUUCCUGCUGUACUGAUUUAAGGGGAUGACCUGCAGCAUCCAUGGCUUGAUCCAUGUUGAAGGAGAAGCCUAUUACUGAGAAAUCUGUUUAUCAGCAGGACUUUCCCUGCUGCUCUGGGUGGCUGAGUGCUGUUUACAGUCUUUGGAGAUGUUUGUUCAUCCCAUGCUUCCAGUCAUGCUUUACAGAUCCAAUCUGAUCCAUGGUUUUAUCUGACUCUAUAGGAAUUAAACUUUGAAACAGGCCAUAAGUUCAGGUACAGCCUGGGUUUGCCAGCAGUGAUCUCUGUGCCUGAGCAUCACCUGAACAAGGGAAGGAAAGUGCAUUGAGUUCCUUAAGAACACAAACUCCAAAGGGUUAACUCAAAGCCGACCAUAAACGUAUCUCCUGAGCAAAGGCUGGGUGCACCAGGAAGUUCAAAGGUCCACAAGAAACAUGGACUUUAGGGAGUUUAUUAAAAAAUAAUUAGAAUCAGAUCCACCAAAAAAAAAAAAAAAGUGUCAACUACGAAAUUUUUUUGAGGAAAUCAGAAAACAAGAACAACUUUGUUGCAUUACUGGGACAUUUGCCUGCUUCACAUUUAGAAGGGAGCUGUGGUCAUUUGAUAGCUGGCAGGGAUAAGGCCACAAAUAUGUGUGAGGCCACAGGUACACAGCCCUCUCCUCCAGUUAGGGAGAAAGAAGAAUCCAGCCAGCUUUUGCUUUUAGUUCACAGGGAAACAAAAUCAGUUAUUUAUUUUUAAGGCUCCAAGAAGAUAUUCCAUCCAGGAGGGAAUCAAACCUACUGUAAAGAAAAACCCAAACCCAAAUUCCUGCUGGUAGCAGAGACACCCGAGAUUAAAGGAGAGGCAUUAAAAAUCAGCUGGCAGCCCGGGGAGGCAGGUGGUGACAGGUGCUCCUGCUCCCUGAAACUUGUGAGGGCUGCAGAGAGGAAAUUCAGCUCCAUUUCCAGCACAGCCCUUCCUGCAGGCCUGGGACACGACCUCAGCUAAGGACAAACCCUACUGCCCCCUCAAACAAAGUAUUAAAAAGAAAAAAAAAAAAAA